rnacentral:rRNA from 1 species
GACGAACGCUGGCGGCGUGCUUAACACGUGCAAGUCGAACGGAAAGGCCUGCUUUCCCUUGUGGAUUGCGGGUACUCGAGUGGCGAACGGGUGAGUAACACGUGCGUGAUCUGCCCCCAACUUGGGUAUAAGCCUGGGAAACUGGGUCUACUUCCCGAUAGUACUGCAGGGUGGUGCCUGUGGUUGAAAACGAUUUUCUUGUGGUUGGGGAUGAGCUCGCGGCCUAUCAGCUUGUUGGUGGGGUAAUGGCCUCCCAAGGUGGCGACGGGUAGCCUGCCUGGGAGGGUGGACGGCCACAUUGGGACUGAGAUACGGCCCAGACUCCUACGGGAGGCAGGAGUGGGGAAGAUUGCACAAGGGGCGUAAUCCAGAGGCAGCGACGGGGUGUAGGUGAUGACGGCGUUCGGGUGGUAAUCUCCGUUCGAGCGCGAGGAAGCCACCUGGUUGGAAGGGUGGUGACGGUAGUGGUAGAAGAAGCACCGGCUAACUACGUG